GAGCCCCACACUGCUUUUAUCACCCAAAUAACCGCCUUCACAUAUGAUUAUUGUUUAAAGGGUUAAUUAUUGGGGCUUCUUGGCAUCAGGUAUGGGUCAGAAGCCGGUAAAUGCGCGGCUCUGAGUACGAUAAUCUAGCAUCGGUGCGCGGUAAAAAAUCAUAACACAGCUGAUCGUCCACGCAGUUCCUCCUUCACGACGUGUUUUGAGAGGUGUUUGCAGUGUUUUUGGCGGAGCGUGACACCAAGAUGACCUACCAGAAUGUGAGCAUCGUGCUGUCGCCCACCAUGCAGAUUUCUCACCGGGUGCUCAAUGUCUUCUUGCUCAACCGUGCCUACCUCUUUGGGGGAGUCGCCAUCAAAAAGUCGAUGGGCGGUGAGACUGCCAGCUCCAGGGUGAAGAAAGGGAAGAGCGUCAAAAUACACCCUUGUGACAUAAACACGCCACCUGUCCGCUUGUCAAAACCCCAUCGUAGUUGCUGGAAAUGGAAAAGAAUGCUGCUAUCCAGUUUAAAAUGUUGCCCCUGAUGUUAUAACUUUUUUCUCAAUUAAUCUCCUGUGUGGAACUUUAUCAAAUGCUUUAGCAGAAUCGCAAUAUGCAACAUCCACUGCGCUGCCUUCGUCCAGAUACUGUGUCCAUUGGUCCAGCACGGCAAUGAGCUGCAGCCGGCACCGUUCAUCAUCUGCCCGUUUCGGGCGCCCAGCCGUACACGUGAACUAACAGUCUUGGCUUCAGGGCAGGUCGCUAAAAUGAAACCACUACAUGCUUGAGAUGCCCCGUUAACACCUCGCCCCGCCCCCACCUUCCUGGCCUGCCCGCCCCCUGGCAUAAAUUGUUUCCAGAAACCCCUAAAUGACCGACUCUUCCAUGCCUGAGAUGACCCGCCCUGCCCUGCGUCAUGACCUCCCGGCAUACAUUGGCCAAGCAGUGCAGAGGAGAAGGAGGAGGAGGAGAAGAAGGAGGAAGAAGAAGAGGAGGAUGUGAGUUCUAUACAUAAAGGCAGAUCAAUAUAUAGAAGCUUAUGGAGUAGAGGAAAUAUGUCAUUCUAUGUAUUAAAGAGGAUAAGAGGGAGGAGAAGGUUAACUUGUAAAUAUAGGCAGAAGUUUAUGUGCCAAGGAAAAUAUUUAAAUGAUUUGUAUUAUGCAUGUAUUGAAAUGGUAUGAACUUGGAUGUUUGUAUGUAUAAGGUCAUGGGAUUUACUUACAAGGUCUGUGGUGUUUUUUUUACUUAUAAGGUUGUACUCAGGAUUUUACUUAUAAGUUCUGUGGCUGUGGGUAACUCCUACAAACCCUUUCUACUAUGGCUAUUAAUUAACAAAAUCCUCUUUCUUUCAGCUUGUGUACUGGCUCAGAAAGUAGUGAAAGGGUGCAUGUUAUCUAUGAAGGCUAUAUGAAUAAGUAUGGAAGUGUGUUAUGGCUAUUAACAACAAUCUUUCUUUCAGCAUGUGUACGGGGAUAGAUAGUGACUUGGCAUAUAUUGAAAUGUCAUGCACUGAGAGUAUUUACGUAAAGGGCCGGGGCUAUUUCUUAUAAGGUACUACGCAUGAUUUUACAUAUACAGCCUUUCGUGUUUCUUUAGGUUAAGGUAUUUCCUAUCCCAGCAUGUAUAAGCAACUUGGGUAUGGAUUUAUGUGUGAGUUACUGAGUUGCAUGUAUACUAAAAUGUGUAUUUGGGAUUUUCGUCUUCUGUGUUUUAUAUAUAUAUAUCCUAAGAAUGGUGUUUUGUUGGGAAAGAAUGUUAUGCACUGGGGUUAUUUAUAUACAAAGUCUGUGGUUAUUUCUUCUUAAGGUAUUUCCUAUCCCAGUAUGUAUAAGAAACUUUGUAUGGAUUUAAAUGUGCGUGUUACUGAGUUGCAUGUGUAUGUGUAUUCAAUGUAUUGGGGUAUAUAUUGUGUAUUGGGGGUAUUUAUUUCAAGGUUAAAGUACUGAAUGGAGGGGAAUUUAUGUAGGGGAAAGGUCUGUAGUGGGGGUGUCGUAACUAACAACCUCUCCUGCAACAACUCCUACUGGUGCUUGUGUAUAGAUUUAAGGGGACACCUCUGUUAGGCUUGUACCUCGAUAAAUAACUAGAAAAAAGUUGGAAAGUGUUAAACAAUGACCAUACGUAACCUAGUCAUGUGUGAAUCCUGAUUAUGGAGGGAGAUUAUCCUCAAACACGUACGGUUAUAUAUAUACAUGUCUUUUACCCACCCAUGCGUGCAGUACGGGUGGUGAACUCUGACCUCUAUGAAAUAAAUAUACAUAACAG